rnacentral:rRNA from 1 species
UACGGAGGGGGCUAGCGUUGUUCGGAAUUACUGGGCGUAAAGCGCACGUAGGCGGCUUUGUAAGUUAGAGGUGAAAGCCCGGAGCUCAACUCCGGAAUUGCCUUUAAGACUGCAUCGCUAGAAUUGUGGAGAGGUGAGUGGAAUUCCGAGUGUAGAGGUGAAAUUCGUAGAUAUUCGGAAGAACACCAGUGGCGAAGGCGACUCACUGGACACAUAUUGACGCUGAGGUGCGAAAGCGUGGGGGAGCAAACAGGG